AGGGUAAUAGCUUAGUGGCAGAGCAUAUGUUUAGCAUGCACAAGGUCCUGGGUUCAAUCCCCAGUAUCUUA
rnacentral:tRNA from 1 species